CUCUGCGCAUAUGCGAGGUCUGUCCAAGUUCGCGUUUAUCCCGUUUAGCGAAACGAAACGAAAAAGAACGAUUUGGACUCUGAUCGAAUUCACCUCAAUUUGUUCAAGGAGUAUAAUUGGACAAGUUUGUUGCGUUUUUGAAGUUGAAGAUGCCAAAGUCAAAAGAAUAUCUCUCUGACAGCGAUGAUAGCAGUGAAGAGG